UUUUCAUACAGAGCCAAAAUUUGAUGUGCUCAAAGAAAACUUUAAGUUAGAAAUGUUACUCUGGUUUUUAUGAAUUUUCUAGCAGUUGAGGGAAUGGGUUCUUGUAAAUACAGUUACUCCUAGUUUUCUUCCUGAAAACCAUAUGUAAAAUAUAUAUAUGGUCUUCAAAUGGAAGGUUUUUUUGUUUUUUUUUAGCUGUGCCUCUGUGGGCUGAGUGACCGUGACCGCAAGGUGGCUCAUGGAGAACUGGUGGGUGUGCAACUGCUACUGGAAGAUGUUCUGAGUAGCUAUCAUGUGACCAUGGAGGCCCCCCAAAGACAGCAAGCCACACUGGGCAAAAAUACACAGAUCUCUGGAAACACCAAGUCAUGAAAGAAAACUUUUCAGUCUCAAGACCACAAAUAGUUGAAAAAUUUAUACAGAGAUUAAUGUAGAAUUAUCAGGAUGAUGGAGUAGAGAUCACUUUCAGGAAAGAUCACCUUGAGGCCUGCCUCCUUUCCCUGGGUUG
rnacentral:lncRNA from 1 species